AAACACCUGAGGGCACAGUGGAGAGGCUGCAGUGGCCUGGGUCUCCUCAGCCUGUGAGCAGAGCAGCACAGAGGAGUCCCUGGCAGAGCAGGAGUGAAUGAAUUUGCACUGUACAGCUGCUUUCCAGACCCCAGUGCUCUCACUGCCUGAAUCCCAGCGGCAGCCUCCAGACCCCACUGGAGGACAAGCUCAGUCCUGCCAGGAAAGCAAAUCUCCUUGGAGAGGCCAAUCCUCAGGGCAGAGGGGGCAAUGACACAGAUGCUCUCUGUCAUUCCCCAGGGCUCCCAGCCAGCCAAUGCCUUCUCUCACUUCUUGGCCAGCCCCACCCCGAGAUGUCUCACACUCACCCACUGCUCCCUCUCCACAUGUCUUUGGGCAGCUACCAGGGGCAGGUUGCUGUGAGGGUAGGGGCAUUUCCUUCCAUGGUUCCCUGCUGGUACUUUGUGGCCAUGCUGGCCCCUCUGGUGUUAGCCCUGGAACGGUCUCCAGACAUGGUGAUAAAAGAAGGCCAGUCCAUGAAUCUGGAAUGUUCCAAGAAGAAAUACGCCAGCACAGCUAUGUAUUGGUUUGUGCUGCCUUCAGAGAAGAAUUCCAGUCUGACCCUACUGGCUUCUGCAGUACAAGGCUGGGCCCUUCAGCAAUCACCAGAUACAAUCGUCCGGGUGGGAGACACCGUGACUCUGGAAUGUUCUGCAUCAGGGAAAAACGUUAUAUAUAUGUACUGGUACAAGCUACCCAUGGAGAAGGAUGCCAGUAUGCAGUUGGUUGUAUAUUCCGUGGAAGGUGGCAAAGCAGAUAUUGAGAAGGAAUUCAAAAAUCGCUUCCAGAGCAGUGGGACUAGGAACAACCAUUUAUCUGUGAAGAUACAGCCUGCCCUCCUCAAUGACACAGGCACAUAUUACUGUGCUGAACAAGAUACACAGUGACUCAAAGGCAGGUGCAGCAUUGCACAAUGGUCUCCAGGCAAACAGGGAUCUGCCACCAGCACACCCUGAGCACUGUUUUUGACAGAACCCCAUUUUCUUACCUGACAUUUGGUCUUACAGGAAAAACAGGGCAUGACUGUCUGUCCAACUUUCCACCUGUGUGUCCAUCUAUCUGUCGUUCUGUCUUUAGCAUGGUGUAUAGCUGCUUUUCUGUUCUAUCCCAUCUCUGAAUCACCAUCUAAUUCUGCUCCCUUGUUGUCCCCACUGUCACACCUCAUUUUUCUGCCAUUCACAGACUGUUUCUCACUUUCCUGCUUAGCACUUGCAUAUACUUUUCCUCAUGAUUUCCAUGGAAAUUUCCCCUUCAGAGAAACACUGAAUAGGGUGACACCACAUGAGCCUCCUCCUUCGUAUUGUUAUCAGACAAAAAUUCCGCCAGGGAUCCUAGCCGAAUUCCACUUCUUUGUCCUUCCAUACAGUCAGGCAGAGCUCUAGGCACACAAAGGAGAAGGAUGAGGGAAAUAUACUCCCAGCACACCUCGCCAGACACCUUCCCUGUGUCCCUUUCACCCCUUGCCACUGUCCCAGAUGUUAUUUAUCCCAGUGAUCACUGGGUUCCCCAGAUAUCCCAUGCAGACUUUGUGGAGCAGAGGACACGUGGAUUUUCUUCAGAGCAGAAACACCUGAGGGCACAGUGGAGAAGCUGCAGUGGCCUGGGUCUCCUCAGCCUGUGAGCAGAGCAGCACAGAGGAGUCCCUGGCAGAGCAGGAGUGAAUGAAUUUGCACUGUACA